AAAAGGUCAAGUUUUAUGCAAAGGAGAGAUAUUGGCAGCAAUUGGAAGAGAUAGAAACAACCAAAUGUUUCCAAUAGCAUGGGCUAUUGUGAAGUCGGAAAACAAGGACACUUGAUCUUGGUUUCUAAAAAAUCUAAUGGCUGAUCUUGACAUAACCAACGGAAAUGGUUGGGCAUUUAUGAGCGAUCAACAAAAGGGGCUUGUUCUAGCUAUAGCUGAAUUGAUGAAAUAUGCUGAGCACAGAAUGUGUGCUCGGCACAUAUACACAAAUUGGGCGAA